AAGCGCUCAUGACCAGACUUGGGCUUGGUUGAUCAUCCAGGGUUCUCCCUGGUGCACUCUUCCAGCCCAGGCCAGCAUCAGUUCGCUGUGGGGGAUAAAGGCUUUGGGAAUGUGGCUCCUCCGGGAGUGUUAUAGCCCUAGGCAGAAUACCCUCGUGGGGACUGAGGUUCGCGCUCUGCAAAGACGCUGGCAUAAUGGUCACCAGCGA
rnacentral:rRNA from 1 species